rnacentral:sRNA from 1 species
GCCAGAUGUGGUGAUGCACACCUGUAAUCCCAGUGGUUCAGGAGGCUGAAGCAGGAGGAUCAUGAGUUGAAAGCCGGCCUCAACAAAAGCAAGGUGAGACCCUGCUUCAA